UCGGUCCUACGGGAGGCAGCAGUGAGGAAUAUUGGUCAAUGGGCGGGAGCCUGAACCAGCCAAGCCGCGUGAGGGAAGAAGGUACAGCGUAUCGUAAACCUCUUUUGUCAGGGACCAAAGACGGGGACUAGUCCCCGGAUGAGGGUACCUGAAGAAAAAGCAUUGGCUAACUCCGUGCCAGCAGCCGCGGUAAUACGGAGGAUGCGAGCGUUAUCCGGAUUUAUUGGGUUUAAAGGUUGCGCAGGCGGCCUGUUAAGUCAGCGGUAAAAGCCCGGGGCUCAACCCCGGCGAGCCGUUGAAACUGG
rnacentral:rRNA from 1 species